rnacentral:rRNA from 1 species
GACGAACGCUGGCGGCGCGCUUAACACAUGCAAGUCGAACGGAAAGGCCUGCUUUCCCUUGUGGAUUGCGGGUACUCGAGUGGCGAACGGGUGAGUAACACGUGAGCGAUCUGCCCCCAACUUGGGUAUAAGCCUGGGAAACUGGGUCUAAUUCCCGAUAGGACUGCAGGGUGGUGCCUGUGGUGGAAAACGAUUUUCUAGUGGUUGGGGAUGAGCUCGCGGCCUAUCAGCUUGUUGGUGGGGUAAUGGCCUACCAAGGCGGCGACGGGUAGCCGGCCUGAGAGGGUGGACGGCCACAUUGGGACUGAGAUACGGCCCAGACUCCUACGGGAGGCAGCAGUGGGGAAUAUUGCACAAUGGGCGGAAGCCUGAUGCAGCGACGCCGCGUGGGGGAUGACGGCCUUCGGGUUGUAAACUCCUUUCGACCGCGAGGAAGCCACCUGGUUGGAAGGGUGGUGACGGUAGUGGUAGAAGAAGCACCGGCUAACUACGUG